rnacentral:rRNA from 1 species
AAACUAAUUUAAUUUGGCGGCAUUUUAUCUAAUUAGAGGAAUUUGUACACUAAUCGACAUUACACGGUAAAUUUAACUUCAAUUCCAAAAUUUGUAUACCUCCAUCUCAAGAAUUAAUCAAAAAGUAUUUCUCCAAAUGAUAAAUAAAAAGUUAGGUCAAGGUGCAAUCAACAUUGAAGAACAAGAUGAAUUACAUUAAGUAUAACUUAAAAUUUAUAAAUUAACAUUUAUAUAAAUCAGGAUUUAAAAGCAAUAUUUCAAUAAUAUUAUAAUAUGAUACAGAUCAUAAAUGUGUACACAUCGCCC